rnacentral:rRNA from 1 species
GACGAACGCUGGCGGCGUGCCUAAUACAUGCAAGUAGAACGCAGUUGCGAACGGGUGAGUAACGCGUAGGUAACUGCCUCAUAGCGGGGGAUAACCUUUGGAAACGUUUGCUAAUACCCCAUACUUUGAGAUGGACCUGUGUUGUAUUAGCUAGGUGGUGAGGUAAAGGCUCACCAAGGCGCCGGUACAUAGCCGACCUGAGAGGGUGGUCGGCCCCACUGGGACUGAGACACGGCCCAGACUCCUACGGGAGGCCACAGUAGGGCAUCUUCGGCAAUGGACGGAAGUCUGACCGAGCAACGCCGCGUGCGUGAAGAAGGUUUUCGGGUCGUAAAGCUCUGUUGUUAGGGAAGCGGUAACUAAAGAGAAAGGGACGGCUAACUACGUGCCAGCAGCCGCGGUAAUUC